CCUACGGGAGGCAGCAGUGAGGAAUAUUGGUCAAUGGGCGCGAGCCUGAACCAGCCAAGUCGCGUGAGGGAGGACGGCCCUACGGGUUGUAAACCUCUUUUGCCGGGGAGCAACGGGCGUCACGUGUGGCGCCACUGAGAGUACCCGGAGAAAAAGCAUCGGCUAACUCCGUGCCAGCCGCCGCGGUAAUACGGAGGAUGCGAGCGUUAUCCGGAUUGAUUGGGUUUAAAGGGUGCGUAGGUUGUUUUUUAAGUCAGCGGUGAAAGUUUGUGGCUCAAACAUAAAAUUGCCGUUGAAACUGGAAGACUUGAGUGUGUUUGAGGUAGGCGGAAUGCGUGGUGUAGCGGUGAAAUGCAUAGAUAUCACGAAGAACUCCGAUUGCGAAGGCAGCUUACUAAGCCAUAACUGACACUGAAGCACGAAAGCGUGGGGAUCAAACAGGAUUAGAUACCCCAGUAGUC
rnacentral:rRNA from 1 species